GUCUCUAUAGCGCAGUGGAUAGAGCGUUGGAUUUCAAAUCCAUAGAUACCGGGUUCGUUCCCCGGUAGGGAUA
rnacentral:tRNA from 1 species